UACGUAGGGGGCAAGCGUUGUCCGGAAUCAUUGGGCGUAAAGAGCGCGUAGGCGGCCCGAUAAGUCCGCUGUGAAAGUCAAGGGCUCAACCCUUGAAUGCCGGUGGAUACUGUCGGGCUAGAGUCCGGAAGAGGCGAGUGGAAUUCCCGGUGUAGCAGUGAAAUGCGUAGAGAUCGGGAGGAACAUCAGUUGCGAAGGCGGCUCUCUGGACCAGCACUGACACUGAGGCACGAAAGCGUGGGGAGCAAACAGGAAUUAGAAACCCCGGG
rnacentral:rRNA from 1 species